rnacentral:lncRNA from 1 species
AUUCCCCUAUCCCCCCACCCCCACCCAAAUCCUUGCUCCGGGAAACUAAGCGGCCACGCAGCAAGUAGCCCUAUGGAGAGGCCCUGUGGUAAGGAACUGAUGUCUCCGAGCAACAGCCAGCCUCACCUGAGACCCAUCAUCAGCCACAUGAGUGGGCUUCAAAGUGAGUCCUCCCCCAUUUGAGUCCUGAGAUGACUGCCAUCUGGCCACACCUUGAUUGACUGGCACUCAGCCUCCCGACUGAGCCAGAGGAUCUUACCAUGCCACACCUGGAUUGCUAGCCCACAGAAACUAUAAGAUAAUAAAUGUUUGUUUGUUUGUUUGUUUAUUUGUUAUUAAGUAAGUUCUAAACCCAAUGUGGGGCUUGAACUCACAACCCCAAGAUCGGGAGUCACACGCUCUAUCAACCAAGCCAGACUGGUGCCCCUGUUUAUGGUUUUAAGUGCAAAGUUUGGGGCUACUUUGUUACACAGCAAUAGAUAAUGAAUAUAGGUGACUUUGAUAAUGUCAGAUAUUUUAUGUAAGAAAACAUGCUAAGUUGGGGUGCCUGGCUGGCUCAGUUGGUGGAAUAUGCGACUCUUGAUCUCGGGAUUAUAGGUUUGAGCCCCACGUUGGGUGUUGAUACUACUUAAAAAUAUUUUUUUGAAAGAUUUAUUUAUUUAUUUGAGAGAGAGAGAGAGAAAGGGAGCAGAAGGAGAGAGAGUCACAAGCAGACUCCACACUGAGCUUGAAGCCUGAUUCGGGGCUUGAUCCCACAGCCCUGAGAUCACGACCUGAGUCGAAACCAAGAGUCAGACACCUAACCAACUCUACCACCCAGGUGCCUGUAAUAAUAAAAUCUUUUUCUAAAAAAGAAAGAAAACAUACUAAAAAGAGAAAUCAAGGAAUCGAUCCCAUUUACAAUUGCACCAAGACCCGUAAAAGACCUAGGAAUAAACCUAACCAAAGAGGUAAAAGAUCUGUACUCUGAAAACUACAAAACGCUUAUGAAAAAAAUUAAAGAUGACAC